ensembl:ncRNA B0511.16 ncRNA
UGGGUUAUUAUGAAGACGCAGAAUCGCGCUCCACGGCCAAUUGAAAAGACCCCACCCCCAAACCAUAGGUCUCGCUAGGUAUUUGGCGGGAAAAGCGCUUUCAGUUUGUUUUCAACGACUUUUAUGCCAAAAUGAUAUUGUGAAGCUAUA